UACGAAGGGGGCUAGCGUUGUUCGGAAUUACUGGGCGUAAAGGGCGCGUCGGCGGUGUGUCAAGUCAGGCGUGAAAGCCCCGGGCUCAACCUGGGAACCGCGCUUGAGACUGGCACGCUCGAGUUCGGGAGAGGAUGGUGGAAUUCCCAGUGUAGAGGUGAAAUUCGUAGAUAUUGGGAAGAACACCGAUGGCGAAGGCAGCCAUCUGGACCGACACUGACGCUGAGGCGCGAAAGCGUGGGGAGCAAACAGG
rnacentral:rRNA from 1 species